AAUCAACGCUGGCGGCGUGCCUCAGACAUGCAAGUCGAACGCGAAAGCCCCCUUCGGGGGGCAAGUAGAGUGGCGCACGGGUGAGUAACACGUAGGUAAUCUACCUUUGGAUGGGGAAUAACAACCGGAAACGGUUGCUAAUACCGCAUAAUGCAGCGGCACCUAAUGGUGACAGUUGUUAAAGCGGGGGAUCGCAAGACCUCGCGUCUGAAGAGGAGCCUGCGGCGGAUUAGCUAGUUGGUAGGGUAACGGCUUACCAAGGCGAUGAUCCGUAGCCGGCCUGAGAGGGCGGUCGGCCACACUGACACUGACAUACGGGUCAGACUCCUACGGGAGGCAGCAGUCGGGAAUUUUGGGCAAUGGGCGAAAGCCUGACCCAGCAACGCCGCGUGAAGGAUGAAAUCCCUCGGGAUGUAAACUUCGCAAGAACGGGAAGAAUAAGUCGGUGUGAACACCACCGAUGAUGACGGUACUGUUUGUAAGCUCCGGCUAACUCCGUGCCAGCAGCCGAC
rnacentral:rRNA from 1 species